rnacentral:rRNA from 1 species
ACCCUACGGGAGGCAGCAGUGGGGAAUAUUGGACAAUGGGGGGAACCCUGAUCCAGCGACGCCGCGUGAGUGAAGAAGUAUUUCGGUAUGUAAAGCUCUAUCCGCAGGGAAGAAAAUGACGGUACCUGACUAAGAAGCCCCGGCUAACUACGUGCCAGCAGCCGCGGUAAUACGUAGGGGGCAAGCGUUAUCCGGAUUUACUGGGUGUAAAGGGAGCGUAGACGGCAUAGCAAGUCUGAAGUGAAAGCCCGUGGCUCAACCGCGGAACUGCUUUGGAAACUGUUAAGCUGGAGUACUGGAGAGGC